CCCUUAGAUGUUCGGGGCCGCACGCGCACUACACUGAAGGAAUCAGCACGUCUUUCUCCUUGUCCGAAAGGACUGGGUAACCCGCUGAACCUCCUUCGUGCUAGGGAUUGGGGCUUGUAAUUCUUCCCCAUGAACGAGGAAUUCCCAGUAAGCGCGAGUCAUAAGCUCGCGUUGAUUACGUCCCUGCCCUUUGUACACACCGCCCGUCGCUACUACCGAUUGGAUGGUUUAGUGAGAUCCUCGGAUUGGUCCCGGAGCGGCCUCUGGUCGUGCCGGAGUGCCGAAAAGAAUGUCGAACUUGAUCAUCUAGAGGAAGUAAAAGUCGUAACA
rnacentral:rRNA from 1 species